GGGCUGCGGUUUUAAACUCAGACUCACAAAGGGGACCCGGAGGUGAGGAGGGGCCAUUUCUCACCCAGAUUUAUGGGCUCCGCAAUCAGGCGGUCGACCACUCGGGCCAUUAAAAGAUUAUCUGGAUCUUUCACAGGCACGCUGGGAUAAAUUGGGAGCAAAGUCAUUAUAUUCAUGCCAAAUAAAUCCACAGGUUGGAGGGUGACACGCUGUCUAUGUGUGUCACAGGUACACACACGUGUGCAUGCGUGUGUAUGUUAAAGCACAGCUGCGGCACAUCUGUGGUCAUUUUACAUUCCCCCUUAAGGCAAAUAAAAUCUCCAGUGUUUAGCGACAUUCUCAGCUUUGAAGGACACGUUUGAGUCAGAUACCAAACUGCUGUCAUUAUGCAUUGUGCAUCAUCUCUUAUCGAGGAUGUUAAGUGGUAUAACCACGAGGUUUGGGGUGUUUAGGUGCGGCUUUUUAUUUGGGUGAUCUUCAAACUUUGUCAGCCCCGUCACACUCCAUAACCUGAGAGUCAUCACUGAGGGGGAAAAGCAGAUGUUGGACGACAGCGGAGGACGGACAGGAAUGCAAACAGAUGAAGGCGUUUGUGCAGUGACAGGUACUGGAUGGCUGAGAGCUCGGCGUGUGUAGCCUUUAACUUACCUCACAAGAUGGAUCGAGCCGGGCCGCUUCAUGAAAUAACUAGUAAGUCUUUUAGCGAAAUUGUUCCAAUGAAGGAUCUGUCCUUUAUGUCAGAACUGUCAUUUUUCCACUCAACCAAAACGACUCUCGUCAAUUUUUCAUGUGCUCACCUUAGAACGGCAAAGAAUUUCCUCAUCUGAUGCAGCUCAAUAAACGCAUUUUAUACACAAUCAUUCUUAAGUGAUGCAUGAAAUGGUGUAUGUCAGCAAAUAUUUAUAUGGGGUCACGAAUGACGGUUAGCCCACUGACUUCAUUAUUCGUGACCGGAAGGAACAAAAUGUUAUUCACGGGAAAUACAGCUGAACUGCUACCAUCAUCUCAGAGUGUGAACGAGAAUUACGGCUAUAAGCUCAUCUGACUGGACAACAAACCAGACACUUUCAUCUCAACAGUAAAGCAGGUAAUUACUCUGCAGGCUGGACUCCGUCUUACAGUCUGCACUUUGUCCUUGGCUUUUCGGGGAUAGGAGCCGUGGCAUGUACUGGCCCGAGCGUAAUGUAAUCAAAAAAAGGCAAGGCCUCGAAUCUGGUUGUGUGAUGUCAUCACAAUGAGACACUUGUGUGAUAUCAUAAUUAUGAGGUAAUGGCGGGAGGGGUGUGUAGGUUUACGACUUUGGCACACGCUCAGUUUACCGUCAGCCGACUGCAACGGGGUACUAAUGAGAAUGGAUGGCCCGCCUCGAGCUCUCCAUGUGUGCCUCUGUGUGCGCGCGACACACACACACACACACAGAGAGUGCACAUGUGCUUGUGCUUAGGGAAGGCUUGCAGAAUUGCUCCCUAGAGCAUUACCGAACACAAGCUUCUCCAAAAUGUAAAUAAUGUCUCACAUAUUAUUUGUUUAUAUUUAAAAGACGGUUGUCUCAAGGGAAUGUACUUUUUCCAUAAAGAUGAGGGCUCCAGUGUUUCGACAACCUAGAGGACCCCCCCCUGCUCCUGCCUUGUGUCCAAAGGCAAGCCUGCUCGUUGUUCUAAAUUUAGCGGUGGUCCCCUCUGGAGGCUGCGGCAGGUGGAGGUGACGGGGGCCCUGGCCUGUACUCUCAGGACAGAUGGGUGAACCCCAUGACCAAAGCCCCGGACCUCACAAUCUAGUUAUAGAACUGAUAAUGAUACCCCGACCUCGGCGAACACACACACACACACACACACACCUCUAAAAAUGAGCCUGAUGUUGCCUCAAACUCAUGGUUAUAAUCUUCCUCAUCCCAUGUUACAAUCCCGGGCUGAAAAACAACACGACAUCACUGGCAGACUCCAAAACCAUUUAUCAAAACUCCUCAGCACCACCACAUGAAAACCUCCAACCAUGCCUCAAUAUUUUGAGACUUGCAACAUGUAAUUUGAAACUAGCUUUUGUAAGCGUGCAGUCACCGAAGCUCACUAUUGUCCCCUCCGUACAAAGAGAAGGAAAAUAAAAACACACUAAAAUGCUGCGAUCUUUCCGCCCGUUACUCUGUUCAGAAAGUUGCUGAUCCCCAUGUUGCUGGCCCAUUGAGCAGGAUGACAUCAUCGGCUCAGACCGUGCCAACUGUGCUCAAUAAAGCCGAGGCGUGUUUGGUGGGAGAGUGCCUCCGCUGCACUGAGACUCGUACGGAAGACGUGAGUGAGAUGAUAUUUGUUCUAAAUUAGUCAUGGCAAAAAUUGGAGGGAAGGGCUUGUCACCAGGAUUCACUGGUUGUAGAGAAUCCGAAUCAUUACAACAGUAUUAUUUCCCGUCUCCUGUGGGAGUCACCGUGUGUGUAGCCGAGCUCAGAGAGGUAAACCGAUCCUUGGUGAUGGAUUCUAUUGUAUAACGGUGGGUUCUAAUUAAAAAUAAAAUAAAGCGCGUAUUUGGUUUGAUGAUAGAUAAGUUCUUAAUAUGAGACCGUUCUACAAAAGACAGGAUCUUUUUCAAAUUAUGAUUGCAGUCCAUUCAACAGAUUUCCUGCUGCUUGUCUUGCACGUACUGGCAUUGUACAUUUCCAAAGUAUAUUAGCCUUUUAGGAUAAACAUGAAGUUACAGCCAGCUGGAGGUUAGCACAGCUCAGCAUAAAGAGAAAGUAUAGGCGCAAACAGCUGGCUCUGUCCAAAGGUAACUAUUACCUAAUUAACUUGUUUAAGUGCAAAUGAGAAGGUGUGGUUUCAGGUGGGUCGUGUGCAGGACUAUAUUUAUUGGCAGUAAGUCCAAGCUGUUUCCGCUCUUUGUGCUCAGCUAAACUAACUGGCUGCUUGCUGUGGACUCAAACGUGCCUCACGAACAAAGGUGUCGAUCCUCCCGACUAACUCUCAGCAAGAAGAUGAAUCAUUUCUUUAAAAGCCUUUUGUGUAUCCGAAUUUCACAUCAUACAGUGAAGUGUUAAAUAUAUCAGUGUUAAAUACAGACAAUAGAGCCAAACGGCUUCAGACCGUCUGCGGCACUCCGCCGCGCACUAGUUUUAAACCUAAUAACAGUCUACAUCUGGGCGGUUUGGUGUUAUGGCAGCAGCGAUGUUGUGUAAUUAAACCGACUUGCCCCCUCAAAGUCUUUGCCACACCUCCACUCCUCCGCCUCUGCCCUCACAUCACACCACGGCUCCUCCAAAGACCAGCUCGCCUCUCUCUUUGUCUUUCCUGGGGCCUUCCCUUCCUUGUGAUCGCCGCCGUGCUCUCUGCGAGUGUACUUGUGCUAGCACAGCAGUUUGGCGGAUGGUCUGGGCAUAGCGGGUGUGUGUCAAACAGCACCUUCCACUCAAGAAGAGAGAAACAGAGGGGAGGCUGCAGGAGGAGGAGGAGGAGGAGGAGGGGGCGCACACACACGCAAACACGCUCACACGCACACAGCACAAGCACACGUACGCUGCAUGGUGAUGUCAUCUAAAAUGACAUCAUCCCGUGGAGGGGAGCCAAGGGACCUGAUGGGUUAGCAUCCUCCAGUGAGUUAAAGGGAGAGAUGGAGGAGGAGGAGGAGGAGGAGGAGGUGGAGACAGUCAGAGGGGGGACUGGAUAACGUGAGGGAGGCGAUGACUGUGAUCAGAAUUUCCACCAUUUCUUUUUUACGCCACUCGCCUCUUGCUUGCGCGGGCUUCACAGGAGCGCACGCCUCUCUUUUAGGGAUUCCAUUUGCAGGUGUUACCCUCCUGAGGGAGGGAUGCGUGAGUGCAGCUAAAGUGCAGUUAGAGUGCAAGUGAAUCAAUACCAGUGAGCGAAUACCCGACACAUACUCAUAAACACAUUGAGCACACAGCCAUAUUAUCUACCGGGUACCACACACACAGAGAGCACAUGUAUGAACAUAUGUCCCGUGCACUGCGACAUGUUCACACGUGGGGGAAAUGAACGCACGCUCUCGCGCGUUGGCUUCCCAUCCAAACACCUGUGUCUCUGCGUGUUUCCCAUUGUUGUCCACUUGGCUGUGCUGUGCUCCACACUGUGCUCCCAGCAUGCCGGCCAUCUGAAACCAGACACCUAUGGACCAGUAUGCUGCUGGAGUGAAACGCCUCUUCCAUCUCUGGAGCCUCUGCUGAUGCUGAGGACAUUCCACUUGGUCCAUAGUGAUGCGUUAUUCAUUAAAAAAAAUAUAUAUGUAAAAAAAACUCUACUUAUUGGAUAUCCCGUUUAUGAUUGUGAGCCUCUUUUGUUUGCACCGAGUGCCAGCGACACUCAGUGUUUCCUUUUAAGAGAGUACAUUGAUGUGGGGAAGGCUUGGUGUUGCUGAUUCAAUCUUCCUUAUCCCUCCCUGUCUGUGGCAAACUGACUCAACUGUAUAAAUAGAGAGGCAUGUAGUGUGGGACAGAGAGGAGCAGGGAUGAGAGAUAUGGAGGGAAUGAGGGAGGACUCGUCGUGAUGUGAGGGUGUGAGGCCACACAAUGGAGGAGAAAUCUGGUUCGGGGAUGAUUAAAUUGAAUAACAUGAGCUAAGCUGUGAAUUUCUCUUUUUGCUCCGAAGACCUUUAAUCUUUUCUUGGAAGGGAUAUUACUCACGACCACGUAUCAAUAAACAACAGCAGAACUGUGAGGCAGGGUUAGGGUUCAUUUCAUCACAUCAUACAUUCAAUGGCCCUUCAGAGCCUCAUCAAGUUCCUCCUUAAAAAACGUUUGCUUCCGUGCAAUAACGUGUCCAACUAAGUUAACAAGAGAGAUACAGAGAAGAGGAAGGAAGCAAGUUUACUUCCCCUUUAAAUCCCUAACGCUGUGUUGUGUUUCAUUGGAAGUAAUGUUUACAUGCUAUCCCAUCCGUGACUGCAUGUCUAACAGACGACCCUUUGCAACCACACCACACACACACGCACACAUACUGUACAUAAUGUGUGAAAAGCAGACAACAUACUUAUAAUUCUACCUGUGAGGUCAAAUCAUUCAUAAAAAUGUAAAUGUUUGUAUGAAUGAGGGGGAAUUCCACUAGCAACACACACACACACACACACACACACACACAGCCUAUUUUUGGUCGUAUCUGGUGUAGCCAACCUCCAUUUGUUUUCCUUCUGCAGUAUUGGUAUGGCAACAUUGGCACACUCCUACUCUCUUCCCAUCUUAGUCAUAAGCCGCACUCAUGAGGCACCAGCUGAAGCCCUCCAACAGUUGAUAUGUUUGGUCACUUCCGUGGGUUUUCUCUCGGCCGCCUUUAUCACUCCGGCACAGACACAUACUGUACGCAUGCAAAUGGCGCCGGAGUCCAGCUCUCCAACCGGGAAUAAAGAGGAACCGGGUUCAUUUUACAGGGCACUGUUCAUUUUUUCAGUACAUCCAUAACUAGAUGUACUACAUAGAUGGAUAUACAUAUGCGGAGACAUACAGUAUACUGUUGUUAUUAGG
ensembl:lncRNA